rnacentral:rRNA from 1 species
AACGAACGUUGGCGGCGUGCCUAACACAUGCAAGUCGAGCGCGAACGGUUCCUUCGGGAACCUAGUAGAGCGGCGAACGGGUGAGUAACGCGUGGGUAAUCUGCCCUUUGGUGGGGAAUAACCACGGGAAACUGUGGCUAAUGCCGCAUGAGCUCUCGGCCCCCGCGGGGAUCGAGAGGAAAGCAUGCCUCUGCUUCAAGCAUGCGCCAGAGGAGGAGCCCGCGUCCCAUUAGCUAGUUGGUGAGGUAACGGCUCACCAAGGCGACGAUGGGUAGCCGGCCUGAGAGGGUGAACGGCCACACUGGGACUGAGACACGGCCCAGACUCCUACGGGAGGCAGCAGUGGGGAAUUUUGCGCAAUGGGGGAAACCCUGACGCAGCGACGCCGCGUGCGGGAUGACGGCCUUCGGGGGAAACCGCUGUCGUACGGGACGAACCCCCGGUCGAAUGAAUAAGCCAUCGGGCUGACGGUACCGUGCAAG